GAGAGAUGAUGAAUAAUUUAUUUGGUCCGUGUUUCUGAAUAAAAUUGAUUGAUAAAACCUACCAAUCUCUGAUCUC
rnacentral:snoRNA from 1 species